rnacentral:snRNA from 9 species
AUACUUACCUGGCGUAGAGGGAUGCCGUGAUCAUGCAGGCGGUUUCCCCAGGGCGAGGCUGCUCCAUUGCACUGCGGAGUGGUUGACUCUUGCGAUUCUUUUUAUUUUUAUCAAUAAAAAAAUCAUAAUAAAAAAUGUAUAAUUGUAUACCCGAAUAAUGAUUUUCUUUAUA